UGAUGCUGCAGGGGAGCUGAUGGAGCUGAUGGAGCUGAUGCUGCAGGGGAGCUGAUGGAGCUGAUGCUGCAGGGGAGCUGAUGGAGCUGAUGCUGCAGGGGAGCUGAUGGAGCUGAUGCUGCAGGGGAGCUGAUGGAGCUGAUGGAGCUGAUGGCGCCGGGCUGGGGGUCCGGCCUGACGCAGGAUGUUCCUGUUGGGGUGAAGCUGAUGACUCACCUGGAACGAUGCAUGGACCACAAUGGGACCACAAUGGGACUAAUUAAGCCUUUGGAAGAGCAGGAGUCCAUGGCUGAGGAAGGAGUCGUCAGGAGGAAGACCAUGAGUCGGCCUGCCAACAAGCGUCACUGGGGAGUUUGCAUAAACUGUUUUGUUUGCCAUCAGACAUGACCGCAAACGACCAAUAUUACCAAACCAGUCAGACUGCUUCUGUGUGUUACCAGACCACAAAAACUAGUGUGAUGUUUGUUACCAGACUAAAUAAUCCUGUUGCAAGACAAACUACCACUGUUUGAUACAAGACUAAAUAAUGCUGUUACCAGACAAACUACCACUGUUUGAUGCAAGACUAAAUAAUGCUGUUACCAGACAAACUACCACUGUUUGAUGCAAGACUAAAUAAUGCUGUUACCAGACAAACUACCACUGACGGAUACCAGACUAAAUAAUGCUGUUACCAGACAAACUACCACUGACGGAUACCAGACUAAAUAAUGCUGUUACCAGACAAACUACCACUGACGGAUACCAGACUAAAUAAUGCUGUUACCAGACAAACUACCCCUGACGGAUACCAGACUAAAUAAUGCUGUUACCAGACAAACUACCCCUGCUGGUUACCAGAUGUUGAGGCGUAACCAAUGCUGUUUGUUUUCCAGAGCCGUGGCGGAGCUAUGUUGGAGGACUGGGCUGGUGAACGCUGUCCCUAGUGCGGCCUGAUUGUGAUCAGAGGACGCAGACGGCUCUUUAGGGGUCACUUGGAGGACAACCAUGUGUCGGUCUUUGGAAGG